AGUUCAUAGUACGUGAACCGUUCAGGGGUAAACGGGAGGGAUCCGGAAGGUCGAACGGGGAGACUCAAUCCUGUCCGUUCCGUCGACACCCGGUCCGCGUUUCCGGAUGUCGUCGGCCGCCGGCCACACCGCAAGGUGCGAGCCGCGUUAGGUCGUCGACACCGGCCGGUCGGGUCGUUUGGCGGCGGCGGGCUGCACUUCUCUCCCGGUAGGACGUCGCGACCCGUUGGACCUAGGGGUCUAAGGCCCGGGGUGGAGCCCGAGGGGAUCGCCGAGGAAUCUCGGGUUCACGUUCCCCCGGACCCCCGGUUGCCCGGCCCCGGUUCGACGGUAUGAAUUGAGGAGAUGGCCCGCUCUUUUGCGAGCGUCCGGCCCGGUGGGCAAGCUCCACGGGUUUUCUCGUGCGUGGUGCCGCGGCUAACGCCGCGUCCCCGCCGCCCGCGGGCUGCUGGUCUCCGGUGUCCUCGGACAGCUUCGGCCGUUCUCCCGUCCGCGGCGCUAUUGCUUCGGAUGCCUUCCCGACCCGUCUUGAAACACGAA
rnacentral:rRNA from 1 species